ACAUGCAAGUCGAGGGGCAGCAUGAUCUAGCUUGCUAGAAUUGAUGGCGACCGGCGCACGGGUGAGUAACGCGUAUCCAACCUCCCUAUAGUAGAGGACAGCCCGGCGAAAGUCGGAUUAAUACUCUAUGUUUUCCAAUGAGGACAUCUGAGCUGGGAAUAAAGGUUUACCGCUAUAGGAUGGGGGAUGCGUCUGAUUAGAUGGUAGGCGGGGUAACGGCCCACCUAGUCGACGAUCAGUAGGGGUUCUGAGAGGAAGGUCCCCCACAUUGGAACUGAGACACGGUCCAAACUCCUACGGGAGGCAGCAGUGAGGAAUAUUGGUCAAUGGGCGCGAGCCUGAACCAGCCAAGUAGCGUGCAGGAAUGACGGCCCUAUGGGUUGUAAACUGCUUUUAUAUAGGGAUAAAGUGCACUACGUGUAGUGUUUUGUAGGUACUAUAUGAAUAAGGACCGGCUAAUUCCGUGCCAGCAGCUGC
rnacentral:rRNA from 1 species